rnacentral:RNase_P_RNA from 1 species
CAGGCCGGCCGGGCGAUCGCGGCGGAUUGCAGAAUCCGCCGAGGAAAGUCCGCACUCCGCAGAGCACGGCGCCGGGUAACACCCGGAGGGGCGUAAGCCUCUGGACAGGGCCACAGAAACAGGUAGCCGUGAACAGGGAACGGGGAGCGGGGGUCAGGUUAUCCUGAUCCCUGUGUCCUGAUCCCUGCGCGCGGUGAUAGUGAAAAGGUGGGGUAAGAGCCCACCGGCGCGGGUGGUAACAUCCGCGGCCAGGCAACCCCCGUCGGGAGCAAGGCCAAGCAGGGAUGAGCGGCUGCUCGUCGCGUUUGAAUCCCGGGUGGGCCGCAUGAGGCGCGCCGAGAGGCGCGUCCCAGAUAGAUGAUCGCCCAGGCGGUGGGGGAGGGAAGAAGUCCUGCGGGAUGUAAACCGGCCCCGCCGCCGGACAGAAUGCGGCUUACAGGCCGGCCUGGGGA